GAUGAACGCUGGCGGUAUGCUUAACACAUGCAAGUCGAACGAACCUGGCCUUCGGGCCUGGUGAGUGGCGGACGGGUGAGUAACGCGUGAGCAAUCUGCCCAUACCAGGGGAAUAACAGUUGGAAACGACUGCUAAUACCGCAUAAGACCACGAUGGGGCAUCCCAUUGAGGUAAAAGAUUUAUCGGGUAUGGAUGAGCUCGCGUCCCAUUAGGUAGUUGGUGAGGUAACGGCCCACCAAGCCGACGAUGGGUAGCCGACCUGAGAGGGUGAUCGGCCACAUUGGAACUGAGAGACGGUCCAGACUCCUACGGGAGGCAGCAGUGGGGAAUAUUGGGCAAUGGAGGCAACUCUGACCCAGCAAUACCGCGUGAGUGAAGAAGGUUUUCGGAUUGUAAAACUCUUUAAGUGGGGACGAAGACAGUGACUGUACCCACAGAAUAAGCAUCGGCUAACUACGUGCCAGCCGCCGCCGUAAAAC
rnacentral:rRNA from 1 species